CAGUUUUUCAUUUUGGGGCAAGCCUGGACAAGUCUGAAGCCCUGUCCUUGAGCUGCUGUGGAGGCUGGCUGGUCUAGAAUGGACUGAAGGUCAGUGCUUGCUCAAUGGCCCAGGCUUGGUGUGUCCUAUCUCCCUUAUCUCUGUGGUAAGGGGCAGCAGAGAUUAAUUCCCCUUUAUUUGUGACUCCUUCAGAAACUGCUUGUGUUAGAAAAUGGAAAUUGAGGCCUGAUCUCUGAGAGAAGACCAAGCCAAGCAGCCUGUUAUGGCAUCUGCUUCAUUUUCUCAAACAUCAGGUGCAGAGCAAAGGAACUCAGUAAUGCUGUGUUUCUCAAGGAGGCAGGAGUGUAAUUGGGAGGGCAAAGCAUUGUGUACACCUGUUACUCAGACUACUAUGUAGUCAUCAAUGAUCGGGAGAUAGUUGAGGGUCUGGAGCUGCAAGAAGGACCUGAAGGGUGACUUGGAAGUGGAAGGUUAAGGUCAACGGUUAGAAUGUUUCAAGAGAAGCACCUGAACCUGCAAAUGCCGUGGAGACUGAGGCUUCCCAACAGGAGAGGAGGCAAGGUAAAAGGAUGCACUUCAGGCUACAACAGAGGAAGAAGCUGACAAGAGAAUGGCCACCACUUUGGCAGAGGAGAUCUGAUUGGAAGUUUCUGGUGUGGCUCUGUGCUGGUCGUGUCAGUCUUGACCCCAAAGAGGAUGAUUCGCACAGGGAGUGGAGUUUACUUCUGUGCCCAUUCAGUCCCUGUCUUCUGCGAGAGCUGGCAAACACUAUAGUGACUAUUGUGUAAGGAGCAACUGUCUCUACAAUUGGAAUGAGACCACAAACUUCUUUUACACAAGACACCAAACACCAACAAUGGUUUCCUGCAGCCCCAGACCUUACACAGAGCUCAAAUGGUGGCUCAAAUGACAAAAAUAUUAUACCAACAAUCUUUUUCUUUUACAGAUAUGUUUUCUUUCAUAUUACAAUACUAUUUGAAUUCUUCAUAAUCACAUGAUUCAAACCAGCAUUCUGUUUAUGGCCCAUUUGUGUAGCACAUUAAUAAAUCAAAUAUAAAUAAAUAACAA